UUUCAUUCUUCUAUACCACCCCGAGUCUUCUAGUCUUCCAGUUGGAGUUGUUUGUUUGUAGUCCGUGAAUGAUCGAUACUCGUUCCUCACAAAGGUAGCUUGUGGAAUUCGAACCAAAGAUUGAACGAAAGCGUAGGCAAAUUCGCAAGGAACAAAGAGCAUGGAUGGCUAAGGAGAAACAAGAACAAGUAGAGAUGGCUGCGAACGGCAAUAACGGUGGUGUUCCUCGAAACAUUUAAGAUUUCUCUAUGCCGCAAUUUUCUUCUCGACAAUCAUGCAUAGUUUAUCCUGAAAUUGAUGGUACUUCUUCUUAUGAGAUCAAAGAUUAUGUUAUUAAAAUGUUGCCCAAGUUUUCUGGAGAUGAGAAUCAAGAUGCUAGUGAACAUGUAGACAACUUUCUGGAUAUUUGUGGGAUACAGAAUAUUAAAGGUGUCUCCGAUGAGUUCACUCGCCUAAAGUUUUUCCCUUUUUCUUUCAAGGGCGAUGCUAGAACAUGGUUCAAGACUCUGCCAGCAAGAUCAAUUAACUCUUGGACUCAACUUUCUAGUAAGUUCAUUCAAAAGUUUUACACUCAGUCUAGAACUCAGAGGUUGAGAGAUUCAAGGCUUUGAUAAUCAGUUGUCCGCACCAUCAGUUUCUACCAUGGCAAUUAAUUUUAUACUUCUACCCGCACUUGAGUGAUGAAUGCCGCCAUAGAUUGGAUGCUACAGCUGAUGGAAAUAUCUUGGGUAAAGAACCAGAGUAAGCAACUACUAUCAUUGAAAAUGUUACAAAUUCAUCUCAAUGGGAUAGUAAAGAGUUAACUCCGAAUUCUACCUAUGAAGUAAGUUCAUCUAAUGAGGUGGCUGUACUAUCAAGGAAAUUAGAUGUUGUGGUGAAUAUGUUAUCGAAAAAUGCAGAACCGUGUGCGAUUUGUGUUGAUCAUACCCAUCCUACUCAUUUUUGUCCUCAAAGUGGUACUUGUCUAGAAGUGGAGGAGACUAAUCAAGUCAAUGCAUUUAACCAUCAAAGAAACAACCCUUUUCUCAAAUACUAAUAAUCCAGGGUGGAGAGACCAUCCUAAUUUAGCUUGGAAGAAUAAUUUCAGCCAAGGGUCCAAGCCAUGGCAACAAGGAGCAGUAUCUAUAGAAACCAAGAAACCUUCUUGGGAAGAAGCAUUAGCUCAGAUGGUUUAAGCUAAUACAGAAUAUAUAAAGACCACCUCUUAACUUUUGCAAACUCUCAUCGAAGGGCAGCAAAUAAAUAGUCAAGUCAUCGGCAAAUUGGAAGCACAAAUCGGUCAAAUCGUUACUGCAGUGAGUGAAAGAGAACCGGGGCGUUUUCCAAGUCAACCCGAAGCCAACCCAAGAGGCAAGGAGAAAGUUAAUGCCAUUAGAACAUCAAGGAGUGGUAAGACUUAUGAUAGCAGGGAAGAAAUCGCUGAAACAAAGGACCAAGAAGAGAAGGACAAAGAAGCAAUUCCACUACCUUCUUCGCCACUUGCUGCUCCUGCUCUAAAGUUGAAGAAUUAUGAUCCACCUAUGCCUUUCCCGCAGACAUUUCAAAGGCAAAGAAAGGACAAGCAUAUGUUAGAUAUAUUGGAGGAAUUUAAAAAGAUUCAAAUCAACAUUCCAUUACUCGAUGCUAUAGCACAAAUUCCAUCAUACGCGAAGUUUUUGAUCUUUGCACAAACAAGAGAAAAUUUACAGACCAUGAGAAGAUUGAGCUUACAAAUUGUUGCAGCGAAGUUUUUAUCACUAAACUGCCUCCAAAAUUUCAAGAUCCAGGGAGUUUCACUAUCUCGUGUGUUAUUGAUGAUUUUAAAUUUAAUAAAGCUUUCUUA